UAUAUACUCCCUCCGUCCCAAAAGUAUUAUCUUAGAUUUGUCUAGAUAUAAAUGUAUCUAGUAACGUUUUAGUAAUUAGAUACAUCUUUUUCUAGACAAACCUAAGACAAGAAUUUUGGGACGGAGGGAGUAUUUG
rnacentral:pre_miRNA from 1 species